UACAGAGGGUGCAAGCGUUAAUCGGAAUUACUGGGCGUAAAGGGCGCGUAGGCGGUUAUAAAAGUUAGAUGUGAAAUCCCCGAGCUUAACUUGGGAACUGCAUUUAAGACUAUAUGACUCGAGUAGAAGAGAGGUAAGUGGAAUUUCCGGUGUAGCGGUGAAAUGCGUAGAUAUCGGAAAGAACACCAGUGGCGAAGGCGACUUACUGGAUUCAUACUGACGCUGAGGCGCGAAAGCAUGGGGAGCAAACAGG
rnacentral:rRNA from 1 species